rnacentral:rRNA from 1 species
AUACAGAGGGUGCGAGCGUUAAUCGGAGUUACUGGGCGUAAAGGGCGCGUAGGCGGUUAAUUAAGUCAGUUGUGAAAUCCCAGGGCUUAACCUUGGAACUGCUAUUGAUACUGAUUGACUGGAGUCGAAGAGAGGGAAGCGGAAUUUCCGGUGUAGCGGUGAAAUGCGUAGAUAUCGGAAGGAACACCCGUGGCGAAGGCGGCUUCCUGGCUUCAGACUGACGCUGAGGCGCGAAAGCGUGGGGAGCGAACAGGAUUAGAAACCCCGGUAGUCC